rnacentral:rRNA from 1 species
UCUGAUGGUAUUCUAUAUUAGAUCUGGCCUGCUCAAUGAAAAUUAUUUUUAAAUGGCCGCGGUAUUUUGACCGUGCGAAGGUAGCAUAAUCAUUUGUCUUUUAAUUGAAGGCUUGUAUGAAUGGUUGGAUGAGGGAAUGACUUUCUUUAUAUUAUUUAAUUGAAUUUAAUUUUUAAGUCAAAAAGCUUAAAUUUUUUAAUGGGACGAGAAGACCCUAUAGAAUUUUAUUUUUAAAUUAAUGAUUUAAUGUUUUGGUUAAUUUUUUUUAUUUAUUAAUAUAAAAAUUUUGUUGGGGUGACAGUAAGACUUUUUUAACUCUUACAUACAUUUAUUUACUAAUUUGUAUAUUUUUGAUCCUUUAAUUAGGAUAGUUAGAUUAAAUUACCUUAGGGAUAACAGCGUAAUUCUACUGAAGAGUUCUUAUUGAUAGUGGAGUUUGCGACCUCGAUGUUGGAUUAAAAUAAGAUUUGAGUGCAGAAGCUCAAUUUCUAGGUCUGUUCGACCUUUAAAUUUUUACA